rnacentral:lncRNA from 1 species
AUUAUGACAUACAACAUAUUUUUAUUAAGUACAAUGUUUGUUGUAGGUUUUGUGGGUUUCUCUUCAAAACCUUUGCCAGUUUUGGGGGGUUUGGGUUAAUUAUUAGUGGAAGGGUGGGUUGUGGUAUUGUAUUAAAGGUCAGUGGUGCAUUUAUAGGAUUAGGAGUAUUUUUAAUUUAUUUGGGGGAAUGAUAGUGAUGUUUGGAUGUACCGCGGCAACAGCUACUGAGGGUUAUCCUGAGGCUUGGGGUCUAAUGUUGUUAUUUGAGGGCUUUAAUUGAUGGGGCUGUUGCUAGAGUUAGUUAUAAUUGCAUGAACAGCAGGGCAUGAUAAGGUAGAGAUUGAUUUUAAAAAGACUUCUUGGUGAAGACUGUAGGUAUAGCUAUACAGGUAUACAGUUAUGGUAGUUGGUUGAUGGUGGUGGCUGGUUGAUCUUUAUUUGUUAGGAUUUUUAUUGUAACUGAAGUUACUCAAGGGUAUUGA